CCUCCUCUCCACAAUGCACCCUUGUCAACUGCCCUGCAGGUGAGCUGGCCGGCGAGCUCGUCCCGGUCGUCGUCACCGAGGUGGCCCCUGCCUGCGUGCCCUCGAGCUCUUGCUGCCACCAUCGGGAUCGAGCUCGACAAGGUGGCCGUUGGGAGCUCGACAGAGAAGAAGGCAACUACGGCCCCACGCCCUCGCUGGAGCCAUCCCUCCACCAUCGCUAGAGAGAGGAGCACCAUCGGGGAGAACCGUGCCUCGCCGACGGCCAGAUCCACCGGUCACCCUUCCCGAUGGUCAUCGGCGUUGGAUCCACGUCACCGAAUCUGUGUCGUGACGCUUCGCCGCCAGAGUGAUGGAUGCCAAGCUCCGCCUAGUCGCGGGCAUUGGAUCCAGCCUUCUCUCCAGUCGUCGCCGCUAGAGUGA
rnacentral:lncRNA from 2 species